GUGGGGAAUAUUGGACAAUGGGGGGAACCCUGAUCCAGCCAUGCCGCGUGUGUGAAGAAGGUCUUCGGAUUGUAAAGCACUUUAAGUUGGGAGGAAGGGCAGUAAGUUAAUACCUUGCUGUUUUGACGUUACCGACAGAAUAAGCACCGGCUAACUUCGUGCCAGCAGCCGCGGUAAUACGAAGGGUGCAAGCGUUAAUCGGAAUUACUGGGCGUAAAGCGCGUGUAGGCUGACAUGCAAGUCGGGUGUGAAAUCCCAGGGCUCAACCUUGGAACUGCACUCGAAACUGCAAGUCUUGAGUACUGGAGAGGGAAGCGGAAUUCCGGGUGUAGAGGUGAAAUUCGUAGAUAUCCGGAGGAACACCAGUGGCGAAGGCGGCUUCCUGGACAGUAACUGACGCUGAGACGCGAAAGCGUGGGGAGCAAACAGGAUUAGAAACCCUGGUAGUCC
rnacentral:rRNA from 1 species